rnacentral:rRNA from 1 species
GACGAACGCUGGCGGCGCGCUUAACACAUGCAAGUCGAGCGAUGAAAUUUCGACAGAUCCCUUCGGGGUGAAGAUGAAAUGGAUUAGCGGCGGACGGGUGAGUAACACGUGAGUAACCUGCCUUUGACAUUGGGAUAGCCUCGGGAAACUGGGAUUAAUACCAAAUGACACUAACUGAUCACAUGAUCAAUUAGUCAAAGAAAUUCGGUCAAAGAUGGACUCGCGGCUGAUUAGCUAGUUGGUGAGGUAACGGCCCACCAAGGCGACGAUCAGUAGCCGGCCUGAGAGGGUGAUCGGCCACAUUGGAACUGAGACACGGUCCAAACUCCUACGGGAGGCAGCAGUGGGGAAUAUUGCACAAUGGGGGAAACCCUGAUGCAGCGACGCCGCGUGAGCGAAGAAGGCCUUCGGGUCGUAAAGCUCUUUUAUGAGGGAAGAUAAUGACGGUACCUAAAGAAAAAGCCCCGGCUAACUACGUG